UUGUUGUUCAAGAUGGAGAAACCUAUUGAAGAUAAAAAUUAUUCACAAAAAGAACCUGAAGAAAGUGUUAAGCUCAGAAAAAUCUUCUCAAUUUCAGUCAGCUGCUUCUCCAGCUUCCAGAGGCCCAGGAGGAAAUCAGAUGAAGAAAAAGGCUCAGCAGUUCUGGGACUCAACGGGAUAAGACAGACACAAUGUGCUAUGGAGCUGAUCAAAUUCUGUGGCAACUGGAUGCACUAGUUAAGAGCUGACUUGGCAGGAUUCUUCUGUGAUGGACUCCGCUGUGUUUACUACUGAUUUGCAACGAUGUGGUGCUGCAAAGAGCUACCAAUAAAUUAGAAGUCUGGGCCAACAGGAGGAGAACAGAAAACUGCAGGGAUGCACUCAGACUGCUUGUUCUUUAUUUACUCCCAGAGACACAUAGGAAGAGGCUUGUUUUGAUGUAGUUUCCCCUCUCACAAGCACUGCUAGGUGUGCUGAAAUGGAGGACGUGGCUGUGAACAUUAGGAUUCCAGCAGGCUGCUACAAAAACUAUUGUGGAAAGUCUGAAAAUACUCUAAAACUACCACUGAUCAUUCUAAACACCAGUGAGGGAGUCACAAGGUGCUUCCCCAUCAGAGAAGGCUGCUCUACCUUGCAAGCCCAGAAGGGACCUGACAGUGGCAGAAGGCCGAACAGCUUUCCCUGCUUUUGGAUCAGUUCCUAAAGGUAUGAUUCACAAAUAUCUCCUGAGGAUUCUGGAAAAUCUACAACUGACACAAAAAAUGUAGGACUUCGACACAAACCAAUAUUAUCUUCCCUUCCCAGGAGAAGGAGUGGCUCAUUUUACAAUGACAUUAAGAAUUCAUUCCCUUAAAUGAGGAGAGAUGGGAAAAUGACAUCUGCUUAUGGUGAGAAAACUGGACAGAAGAGUCAAAAAUGCCUAUGGAUCUGACAACAGUAAUGUGUAUAGCAGUCAAAUUGCAGAGAGCGAGGAUUCAGGCAGCUUCCACAAGCAGAGACUGCAAAAUGUAGCUUUGUGCCUACUCUGUGGGAGGGAAGAAAGAAUAAUAUCACGGAGGUCAUAAAUCCUAGAUUGAUGAGGCUGCUGUGCUUCAGCAGCAAAUUUCCUUGGGCAGAGGCAACUUGUCAGAAGCAGAAAUGUUUGUUGCUAAGGCAGUGGAUAUCCGGAAGGGUAUAAGGACAACCAGUCAUACGGAGGCUAUACAGCUAAGGCCAGGAGAAGCUUCAGGAGCGAAGCAGCUGACUUGUCAGAAGAAAACUUAGACACUUUGCUCAGGCAAAGAAGCUACUGUUAUGGAGCACACCAUGGAACUAAACUUCUUUAAUUAGACUAACUGAAAUAAUGGUGGAAUUGGUGAUAGAAGGUGUGUCAGAGAAGCAUGAAGAAUAAGAUAGAAAAGAACUGCUGCUGUCAAAAUCACCUUGGAAUUUUAAUGUAACUGCCUUCUUGGAAGAAAAGAAUGGUGUCAGUCCCAGAAAGUAUGGAUUCCUUCAAAAGAAAAACAAUCAAAAAAAAAGGAAAAAAAAAAAAAAAAGGUUAGUAGGAAAUGUGACAAAUAAGGAUGCAAAACAUGCUUUGGUAGUAUUUGUUGGUUCACUGGUACUGUUUCUCCUUCCUUGUAUUUUUCUUAUUUAUUCAGGAGCCUGAUUACAGCCUUGCUGCCUUCAUGAUACUCAAGAAUC